GAAUAUACAUAACGGUUACUUUACGAGUUGACUUUCAGUCGGAGGACGAACAUUUACUUCGGCCCACCAACUAGCGGUUUUGGCUAAUGCUUUUUAGCUUCAAGGCAAGAUAACAGGCUGCUCUUGGUAAGUUUGUUUCAGAUGUUGUGUGUGUAUUUGUCAUAAUGUACAGUAAUAAGUUAUGGGCAGACAAAGCGUAGGUAAGACGUUAACGUGACAAGGGUGAGGUGAAGGAUACUAUGGGCUAGCCAGACUAGAAUAUAAGUUAACUAGCAUCACGAAAUUAUGCUGUAUUUACCCUUAAACAAAUUAAACACUGGGCCAAAAGGUGUUUAGGCCUAUACAGUAGUUUCUUCCUGUGCUGCGUUGUGCACGUCUGUUUCAUCAUCUGAGCUAUCAGUUGUGUUUCUUUGAAGCAAAGAUGUAUAGAAUAGCACUGAAAGUCGGAGGUGUCAUAUUUGUUCAACCUGGUGUUAAACGUAAUUUCAAUUCUUGACCAGUGCAUGUAAAGAAAUUGUAAAUAAAACCGACUUGAUGUAGUAGUGCUAAAAAUAAACCUUUAUAUUUUCUCUUAGUGAACUUCUCAAAAUAUAUGGGCUAUAAUGUAGAUACUACGGUACUUGGGAUGGGUUUAUCGUUACCUAUUGUUUCUGAUGGGGCGUUAAUUGGUGUGGCACCCGGAACUCUUCCUCACUUCGGGAAGAUUGGCAAGGGGUAAGCUGUGUUUUUUUCUUCCGUGUUACAAACUAUUUAAUGAUGUUUCUGUACUUUAAUUUCUCUGUUAUUUUAUUGAUCUUUGAUGGGAAGAUAUUCUGUUACGUUUGUGUUGAUAUUUUCGUUGUAAUUUUCGCUCAAAGUAUGUACAUUAGCGCCAUUAAUGUCCGCGAUCGUUAUGAAGUUAACAGGUGCUAACGAGCCUAUUGUGUCGCAGGAAUGCCGUUCGCUUCGACCCCUUGCAGUGUGCCUCAUUGUGUCCGCUCUGUCUGUUGUUUCAGAUAUAAGAAGUUGGGGUUGGGGUUGAUGAUCCACAUGAUGGUGAUGGACCAGGACAGCUCUGGACCUCCUGACUGGCAGCUCCCUCCUCAACCUCCCUUCCUGUCCUUCACACAUGUGCAGGCAGAGAGGCAGUUUUCUGAAGGAUGGUUAAUGUCCGUACCAACAUGUUGUGAUGGAGGCUUCCACCUGAGCUGAACACAGAAACUUGCACACAGUGAUGGAAGCAGUCGUUCCUGUUCAGCAUUGAUAUGCCGGUAAUGAGUUUGAUGAGCCACAGCAUGGUGAUGGGCAAUCAGCAUCAGGACCAGGGCCGCUCACAAGGAGAACCUCCUGCCCUGCCUCUUCAUCCUCAACCUCCAAUCUUCCUGCUCUUCACACAUGUGCAGGCACAGAGCCAGUUUUCAGAGGGAGGGCUGAUGACGCCAGCAACUUCGUAUCUGAACCUGAUCAACCCAGCACCAACCACUGUGCCGCUCCUCCUCUGCCAACUGCACCACAUGGCUCCACCAUCUCAAAAAGGCACAGACACUACUCCACUUCCUGCGAAGGAUGAGAGAAGAGCCGACCUUCCCACAACGGCACUCACCACCUUCUACAGGGGUGUCAUUGAGAGCAUCCUGACCAGCAGCCUCUCUGUCUGGCAUGGCAGCCGUCAAGCUGAAGACUAGAAGGCAGUACAGAGAGUGGUGAGGACAGCAGAAAAGCUCAUAAGGUCACCCCUACCUGUUCUCCCUACUACCAUCAGGGAAGCACUAGCCCAGCAUGCAGUGCUGCAAAAGCACACUGGGAAACGGCUUCUUUCCACAAGCCAUCAGACUCCUCAACGCACUGAAGAAAACCACAUGAAUAACCAAGGACACGGGAGAAUAUUCCAUGAACACUUCUUUCACCAUGCCACUUACACUUUACUCAUUGCACCUUGUAUACAGCAUCUUCACAUCACCUGUAUGAACUCCUCCUGCCGUGUGUGUGUGUCCACUGUGUUUGUGUAUUUAUUGUCCAUCAGUAUGUUAAUCUUAUUAUUGCACACUGUUUGGGUGUCUGUGUGAGUGUAUUUAUAGUAUGUAUCAGUCUGUAUUUAAUGCCAAUGCCUUAUUUUUAGUUAUUAGUUAAAUGCACAUUGGAGACUGGUCAAACACAAUUUCAAACUUUGUGUUAACCCUCCAUAGAUUUUUGUCAAAAAAUGGAGUCUAAUCUACUGUACUACACAGGCUAUCAACAGACCACACAGUUGA